rnacentral:lncRNA from 1 species
AAGCAGCAGAAACAUCCUUAACUGAGCUCCUCACUCACUCACUGCAGCUAGCCUCUUCUUCCUCAGUCGUCAGAAAGAAUGUCUUGCUGCGGCGGCAACUGCGGGUGCGGCGCCGGCUGCAAGUGCGGCAACGGCUGCGGCGGGUACUCAUCUCUCUGCUCUUGCGUGUAUCAUUUUGUUCCACAGUUCUUCUGUUAUGAGACGGCAGAGUAAUCUGAUUAACCAUGUGCAUAUGUAUGUAGGUGCAAGAUGUUCCCUGACGUUGAGGCCAGCGCCGGCGCCACGAUGACCACCGUGGUCAUGGCCACCGCCACCCACAAGGGGUAUGCAUAAUCGAUCGAUAUGAACUCACGCUUAAUCAUAUUUCACUGAAAUUAAGCAACAAGCUAGCCAAAUAGCAGAGGGAAUUAACUGACUGUUGCGUUUAAUUUGUGCAUAUGCAGGAGCUCUGGUGGGCUGGAGAUGGCCGGCGGGGAGGAGAGCGGCGGCUGCGACUGCACCACCUGCAAGUGCGGCACCGCCUGCGGCUGCUCCUGCUGCACCUGCAACUAGAGCCACACACCAGCGACCAUGAGGAAUGAGGAUCGAUCCAGGAUCUAGGACAACUGCACUGCAAGCAUGCACCCACCAUCGCCGCCCAGCUAGCUAG